CUCAUCCUUCUAAUCCAUUAUCCUUAGCUUAUGUGUCUUCUUGCGCCUAGCAUUUGCACUACUGCCACCCACCAUCACAACCAAUACACACCAACCAACCACACCGAGCUCGCCAAUGGAGGCGACUGCGCUGAGCGUCGGCAAGUCCGUGCUGAAUGGAGCGCUUAGCUACGCCAAUUCCGCUCUGGCGGAGGAGGUGGCUUUGCAGCUCGGUGUCCGCCGUGACCAUGUCUUCAUCACCAACGAGCUUGAGAUGAUGCAGGCCUUCUUAGAGUCUGCUCAUGACGAGGGAGACGACAUCAACAGGGUGGUGAAGGUAUGGGUGAAGCAAGUUCGAGAUGUGGCCUACGAUGUGGAGGACACCCUCCAGGAAUUUUCCGUUCGUUUGGAGAAGAAAUCCUGGUGGCGUAUCUGUCGCACGCUGCUUGAUCGGCGCCGUGUGGUCAAGCAGAUGAAGGAGCUUAGAGCCAAUGUUGAGGAUGUCAGCCAGAGGAAUAUGCGCUAUCACCUUAUCAAGGGAUCUGACUCAAAGCCUGCAACCACCGGUGGGCAAUCUGCCAUCGCCGGUGCCACCGUGAUGUCUGGCAACGAUGAAGCAAGGCGGCAGCUGGAAAAAGCAAAAGAUGAUCUCUUUCAACUGAUCAGGAAGAAGGACGACGAUCUUAGAGUGAUCGCGGUUUGGGGAACAAGUAGUAACGUCAGGCGGACAUCCAUAAUAGAAAGAGUCUUUGCAGAUGUGAAGAAACACAGGGUUUUUGAUUGCCAUGCCUGGAUAACGUUGACACGUCCUUUCAAUUCAACGGAGUUCCUAAGAAGCAUUAUCAGGCAGUUCUAUGUUAAUUUUCUUCAAGAGUCCGACAAAAAGGAAAAUAUAAUUGGGGGUCCUCAAGAUCUGAGAAGGAUGGGGAUGAAGAAGGGAAAUGAUUUGGCUGACGAGUUCAAGAGAUAUGCCAAUGAGAAGAGUUUCCUGAUUGUGCUUGAUGACCUAUCCACCAUUGAAGAGUGGGAUUGCAUUAAAGCAUGUUUUCUGAAUAACAAUAAAGGAAGCCGAAUAAUAGUUUCCACAGAGCUGGUUGAAGUUGCAAGCUUAUGCGUGGGACCAGAAAACAUCACACCAGAGCACAAGCAGUUGUCUGUUGAUUUAACUUUGUACGCUUUCUAUGAGAAGGGUUCUCUAGAUGGCACAGAAUCAACAGAGGCUGGGUCUAGCUCAAAUGUGGGAACUCAUGUGAGUGACAACUCUGACAAUAGGAAGAUGCUCAAUCGUACAGAGACAAUGCUAGCAGCUUUAAAGGAAUCUCGGCUCAUUGGGCGAGAGACAGAAAAGGCAGAAAUUGUUAAACUAAUUACAACUGAAGAUAGCCAACUUGAUGUGAUCUCCGUGUGGGGAAUGGGUGGUCUUGGAAAAACCACACUAGUGAGAGAUGUCUACCAAGAUGAAAUACUCAGUGGGAAGUUUGAGAAGCGUGCUUGUGCCACAAUUAUGCGCCCUUUCAAUGUUAACGAGCUCCUCCAGAACUUAGCUUUGCAGUUUGGCUAUAAGGAUGUCCCAGAAAUGGACAAAGAAUUACCAGGAAAGAAAUAUUUGAUUGUUCUUGAUGAUAUAUCAUCCAAUGCAGAAUGGGAUGCUAUAAUACAACACUUUCCCGCAACAGAGACAUCAUGCCGAAUAAUAGUCACCACAAGGGUAAAAGAUAUUGCCACACAUUGUUCAAAGAAGCAUGAAAAAAUUUACAGACUCCAAAGUCUAGAAGACAACAACGCACUUGACCUAUUCGCCAAAAAGAUAUUUGGCAAGGCUACCAAUAUGGAUGAGGAGUAUCCUGAGUUGGUUGAACAUGCAAAUCUGGUCCUAAAGAAAUGCAAUGGACUCCCACUUGCAAUAGUCACCAUUGGGGGCUUUUUGGCAAACCAACCAAAAACCGUUAUGGAAUGGAGGAAAUUGAAUGAGCAUAUCCGGGCCGAGUUGGUGAUGAAUCCAGAGAUUGGUACCAUAAGAACCAUUCUUAUGAGAAGCUACGAUGGUUUACCUUAUUACCUCAAGUCUUGUUUCCUGUAUAUGCCCAUCUUUCCCGAGGACUACGUUGUUGGACGGAAACGCUUGGUGCGUCGCUGGUCUGCAGAGGGCUAUUCAAGGCAGGUGCAUGGUAACUCUGUGGAGGAAAUCCUGGAUGGCUACUUUAUGGAACUUAUAAGCAGGAGCAUGCUUUCACCAUCUCAACAGUCAAUUCAUGGUAUAGAAGGAAUUGAUUCCUGCCAAGUCCAUGAUCUCAUCCGUGAAAUCGGCAUCUCAAAGUCGAUGGAAGAAAAUCUUGUUCUUACAGUGGAGGAAGGUUGCAGUUCAAACAGCCAACGCACUAUGCGCCACCUUGCUAUAAAUGGCAAUUGGAAAGGAUACCGGAGUGAUUUCGAGAGCAUAGUGGACAUGUCCCGUGUACGAUCAGUAACAGUUUUUGGUGAGUGGAAGUCAUUUUUCAUUUCUGACAAGAUGAGUCUACUCCGAGUGCUGGACCUGGAAGACACAACUGAUCUACGUGAUCAUCACCUGAAGCAUAUAGGGAAGUUUCUUCACCUAAGAUACCUUUCUCUAAGAGGAUGUGAUGCUAUUUAUCACCUGCCAGAUUCAUUGGGAAACUUGAGAGAACUCGUGACGCUAGAUGUCCGAGGUACGAGAAUAAUCAAGCUGCCGAGGAGUAUCGCCAAUCUCCAGAAGCUAAGCUAUCUUCGUUCUGGUCAGAAACCGGAUGGUGAAUAUGGCUCGUAUGGAUACAUUUUUGGUGACCUUCCAAAUUUUCUUGGCAAUAUGUCUUUCGUGACAGGGAUUAUUUUGUAUUGCAUUGACUUUAAUUACCGUGAUGCAUGCACUGCUCUUUGCUGCCAUUUGCUACCUUUUAUUGCGAUGCGCCAAGACUUGCAUGGUGUUCUAGUGCAAAGUGGGAUGAGGAAACUAAAAGCCCUACACACAUUGGGUGUUGUGAACAUCGCACGGCGGGGUAAGGAUGUUCUAAAGGAUAUAAAAGGGCUCAUUCAGUUGCGCAAGUUAGGAGUGACCGGUGUCAAUAAGGAAAACGGACAAGAGUUGUGUUUGGCAAUUGUUGGUCUGAGCCGGCUGGAGUCAUUGUCAAUCCGGUCAGAGGGGGAGCCUGGUUUAUCUGGUUGCUUGGAUGGAGAGUUCUCGUUUCCGGAAAAGCUGCAUAGCCUAAAGCUGUACGGUAACAUGGUCAAACUGCCAGAAUGGAUCCAGGGGCUGACGAAUCUGGUAAAGCUGAAGCUGCGGAGCUGUAGAAUAUCAGAGCAUGAUGAAGCCAUACAGGUCCUUGGGGAUCUACCAAACCUGGCAUCCCUGCAUCUGUUGUAUAACUCGUUCAAGCGGACCAAUGCUUGUCUCACAUUCCGUCCACACAUGUUCCAGAACCUGGUGGUGCUGGAACUUCAUUCGCUCUUGAUCGACUACGAGGAUAUACUGCUAUUGUUGAAGUUUGAACGAGGAGCAGCCCCUAAGCUAGAGCUGCUCAAGUUCUGUUCGGCAUACAUCAAUAGUCGGACACUCUCGGGGCUACCAUCUCUGGCAAGCCUGAAGGAGGUUCUGCUCAAAGGCUUCUACGAUGAUGAUGAAUUGGCAUACCUGAUGGCCGAGCUCGCAGAAAAUCCAAGUCGACCGGUCAUAAAGAGGGUCUGAUCGAGAUCAUGGAGAUCCACUGCGCCAAACAAUCCAAGCUGGUGGAUCACUUAUCCUGACGCCGCAUGUUACACCUGAUUAUGUAUAGUAGUUCGAUCGGUGUCCUGAUAAUUAGCAGGACACACCAUGUCCUUGACCAAUGUAACAUACUCAGUUGCUGUCUCGUUUUGUGUACGUGCUCCAUCUGAAUGGCUAAUUAAUAUUCCCGUCAUGAUGAAAAUUUGAAAACA